AUUGAACGCUGGCGGAAUGCUUUACACAUGCAAGUCGAGCGGCAGCACGGGGGUAACCCUGGUGGCGAGCGGCGAACGGGUGAGUAAUACAUCGGAACAUGCCCCGUCGUGGGGGAUAACACCUCGAAAGAAGUGCUAAUACCGCAUACGUCCUGCGGGAGCAAGCGGGGGAUCGCAAGACCUCGUGCGAUUGGAGUGGCCGAUGUCAGAUUAGCUAGUUGGUGGGGUAAAGGCCUACCAAGGCAACGAUCUGUAGCUGGUCUGAGAGGAUGAUCAGCCACACUGGGACGGAGACAGGGCCCAGACUCCUAAGGGAGGCAGCAGUGGGGAAUGUUGGGCAAUGGGGGCAACCCUGAUCCAGCCAGUCCGCGUGAGUGAAGAAGGCCUUCGGGUUGUAAAGCUCUUUCGGCAGGAACGAAACGGUGAGCUCUAACAUAGCUUGCUAGUGACGGUACCUGAAGAAGAAGCACCGGCUAACUACGUG
rnacentral:rRNA from 1 species